rnacentral:rRNA from 1 species
GUGGGGAAUUUUGGACAAUGGGCGCAAGCCUGAUCCAGCAAUGCCGCGUGCAGGAAGAAGGCCUUCGGGUUGUAAACUGCUUUUGUACGGAACGAAACGGUCCGGGUUAAUACCCUGGGCUAAUGACGGUACCGUAAGAAUAAGCACCGGCUAACUACGUGCCAGCAGCCGCGGUAAUACGUAGGGUGCAAGCGUUAAUCGGAAUUACUGGGCGUAAAGCGUGCGCAGGCGGUUUUGUAAGACAGAUGUGAAAUCCCCGGGCUUAACCUGGGAACUGCGUUUGUGACUGCAAGACUCGAGUGCGGCAGAGGGGGGUGGAAUUCCACGUGUAGCAGUGAAAUGCGUAGAGAUGUGGAGGAACACCGAUGGCGAAGGCAGCCCCCUGGGUCGACACUGACGCUCAUGCACGAAAGCGUGGGUAGCAAACAGGAUUAGAAACCCUUGUAGUCC